AUUAUCAACCAUCAAGCCUGGCUUGUCGUUGGACCUUUUGGUCGUCCAGACCGGUCCAAAAGAUAAUGGACGGGCGUCUGGUGGCCCCCGAUGCAACGAGCUCUUUUAAACAGCACGCAUCGGUGCGGUCGGCAGCCCCGCCCCAAACCUCAAUUUUUCAGGUUGACCUCGGAUCAGGUAGGAAUACCCGCUGAACUUAA
rnacentral:misc_RNA from 1 species